rnacentral:rRNA from 1 species
AGGACGAACGCUGGCGGCGUGCUUAACACAUGCAAGUCGAGCGGUAAGGCUCCUUCGGGAGUACACGAGCGGCGAACGGGUGAGUAACACGUGAGCAAUCUGCCCUUCACAUCGGGAUAACCCCCGGAAACGGGAGCUAAUACCGGAUACGACCACUUCAGGCAUCUGAUGGUGGUGGAAAGUUCCGGCGGUGGAGGAUGAGCUCGCGGCCUAUCAGCUAGUUGGUGAGGUAAUGGCCCACCAAGGCUUCGACGGGUAGCCGGCCUGAGAGGGUGACCGGCCACACUGGGACUGAGACACGGCCCAGACUCCUACGGGAGGCAGCAGUGGGGAAUAUUGGACAAUGGGCGAAAGCCUGAUCCAGCAACGCCGCGUGAGGGAUGACGGCCUUCGGGUUGUAAACCUCUUUCAGCGCAGACGAAGCGAAAGUGACGGUAUGCGCAGAAGAAGCACCGGCCAACUACGUGCCAGCAGCCGC